GGGACACAUUUUUUAAAGGUCUGUGCUGUUUUGCUUUGCACAGCUGCCGGUUUUGUCCGUGUAUGUUUGUCCAGCUUUGUGUCUUUCUGUGCAGAGAGCUUUAAAGAUUCUGCAGCCUGCCGUCCUGGAGGAGUUCCUGGUUGCAGUGGAGGGUUUGGGGGCCUUUUGCACUGGGCCCAAACUCCAGGACUUGAUGAUCCUGUCUGACUCAGUCAGAAAGCAGUGGGAGGCCGUCAUGUGCGAAGCUGCAUCUGCUGAGGAAUGUGUUGAAACGCUCCAAGAGCUGUGUGAGACACUGACGCCAAGUGAAUCCUCCUGCCUGGAAACAGAUCAACUGAGGGAGUCAGAUGAAGCACAGGAAACACAGCCCGGUGACACAGUGCUCCCAUCUGACUGGUAAGAUAAUGCUAAGGAGGGGCAGCAUGAGGUGUAAUACAUUACAAGUCAACACGUUUAAAGAUCCACUC
rnacentral:lncRNA from 1 species